UAUAACUGAAGCAUGAAAUUUUAAUUGUAAGUGAUACAAGCUAAUUCUAUUUAAAAUAUUCAAAUGGGAAUAAAUAUUGUUAAUGUUUUCAAAAUUGUUUAUGUUAUGAUUAUUUUUAUUUUUCUAUUUCUUGAUGCAAAUGAAUACGUUGUUAUCACAGAGACAGAUGUUCCAUGUGUAAGACGUAAAGAUUGUCCUAAAACUUUGUGUAAUCUUGGUUUAUCACGAAAAUGUAAUGGCGCAGGUUUUUGUAUAUGUGUUUCAAGUAGUUUCAAUUAGAUAUUGUGUUGGCUUCCAAUAAUUCAAUUUUUUAUUUAAUUUUUAUAAUUUUAUGAAACUUGUAGUUAUUACUUUGUACGUUAAAAUGAUACAAAUAAAAUGAAAUACAAUAUAUUCAUCAAAAAAAAAAUGAAUACAAUAUUAAUGACUAUUUUAUCAA